AGAGUUUGAUCCUGGCUCAGAACGAACGCUGGCGGCGCGUCUUAAGCAUGCAAGUCGAACGGUAAGGGAGAGCUUGCUCUCCCCUAGAGUGGCGGACUGGUGAGUAACGCGUGGGUGACCUGCCCUGAAGAUGGGGAUAGCUAGUAGAAAUAUUAGAUAAUACCGAAUGUGCUCAUUUACAUAAAGGUAAAUGAGGAAAGGAGCUACGGCUCCGCUUCAGGAUGGGCCCGCGUCCCAUUAGCUGGUUGGUGAGGUAAAGGCCCACCAAGGCAACGAUGGGUAUCCGGCCUGAGAGGGUGAACGGACACAUUGGGACUGAGAUACGGCCCAAACUCCUACGGGAGGCAGCAGCUAAGAAUCUUCCGCAAUGGACGAAAGUCUGACGGAGCGACGCCGUGUGAAUGAAGAAGGCCGAAAGGUUGUAAAAUUCUUUUGCAGAUGAAGAAUAAGAAGAAGAGGGAAUGCUUCUUUGAUGACGGUAAUCAUGCGAAUAAGCCCCGGCUAAUUACGUGCCAGCAGCCGCGGUAACACGUAAGGGGCGAGCGUUGUUCGGAAUUAUUGGGCGUAAAGGGCAUGUAGGCGGUUAUGUAAGCCUGAUGUGAAAUCCUGGGGCUUAACCCUAGAAUAGCAUUGGGUACUGUGUAACUUGAAUUACGGAAGGGAAACUGGAAUUCCAAGUGUAGGGGUGGAAUCUGUAGAUAUUUGGAAGAACACCGGUGGCGAAGGCGGGUUUCUGGCCGAUGAUUGACGCUGAUAUACGAAGGUGCGGGGAGCAAACAGGAUUAGAUACCCUGGUAGUCCGCACAGUAAACGAUGUACACUAGGUGUCGGGGCAAGAGCUUCGGUGCCGACGCAAACGCAUUAAGUGUACCGCCUGGGAAGUAUGCCCGCAAGGGUGAAACUCAAAGGAAUUGACGGGGGCCCACACAAGCGGUGGAGCAUGUGGUUUAAUUCGAUGAUACGCGAGAAACCUUACCUGGGUUUGACAUCAAGAGCAAUGACAUAGAGAUAUGGCAGCGUAGCAAUACGGCUCUUGACAGGUGCUGCAUGGCUGUCGUCAGCUCGUGCCG
rnacentral:rRNA from 1 species